rnacentral:rRNA from 1 species
GACGAACGCUGGCGGCGUGCUUAACACAUGCAAGUCGAACGGAGUUGCUAACGGGCGAGUUACUCGUGGGUGACCUGCCCUGCCUUUCGGGAUAAGCCUGAGUAACUGGGUCUAAUUCCUGCUAGUGUGGGAUGGGUGCGCGGUCUAGCAGCUUGUUGGUGGGGUAAUGGCUUACCAAGGCGGCGACGGGUAGCCGGCCUGAGAGGGUGGACGGCCACAUUGGGACUGAGGCACGGGCAAGACGCCUACGGGAGGCAGCGGUGGGGGAUAGUGCGCAAUGGGCGGAGGCAGGAUGGAGCGACGCCGCGUGGGGAAUGACGGCCAUCGGGUUGUAAACUCCUUUCACCAUAGACGCGGUAGAUGGAGAAGAAGCACCGGCUAACUACGUGCCAGCAGCCGCGGUAAUUC